AGGGACCAGUCCCAAGUGGAUCCGCGCCGAGGAGCACGGGAAAACGAGUCCCGCGGUGACGCCUCUUUGGAGGCUCUGGGUUGUGAGAACUACAACUCCCACAAGGCUGCGCGCGGCGGGCUCAUUGCUGGGAGGUAAUUUCUUGCCCCAGACUUUGCAUCUCGCUCCCCAGCAGCUGAGGGUCCAAGUCUCCGGGACUGGGUGGUCAAUGUAGUUGGUAGGAAUGAAUCCGCGACUUUGCCUGGCCGAUAAGGUAGGAAAAGAGAAGACUGGGGUAGAACUGGGUGAUAGAGGGGAGUAAUUUUGUGUCUAAGGCGUGUAGGACCCUUCCGUCCUGGAAGCUGGGGUCUGUGAGGCUAAGAGUCCAGACACCAAUUUACUGAGUGAUCACCUCUUGCGAAGGAUGGCACUAGGCGUUUUAUAUUUAAUCUUCACUUACCAAGAUUAAAGAUUAAACGGCCCCUUCUGAAUUCAAAGAGGCCCAAGUUGUCGCAUACACGUAGAACUUUAAGCUCACUUAUAUCCAUAUUUCUUGUGGAAAAAUCCAGGGCCUGCCUGUGAGUGUCCCAGUGACUAAACACCUUAAUUUACAAAGGACAGUGUGACCUGUAAGCACCUGUUGGUCUGGUUUCUCUUGCAUAUGGGACUGCCUCAAGCCUGGGUUCUAAAUCUUGACAACAGAACAUAAUGGAACCAGCUGUGUCUGAAGGCAAAGGUCAAGUUGAGAGGAGAGACCUGUGUGAGAAGACUCUGAAUAUAGGCCAUCUAACCAGUUCCUAAAUCCUUCUGAUUUUUAGUCCUGGAUCAAACUGGGCCAAAUCUGAAGACAACAUACUUACGGAGUAUGACUUCUGACCUGGAUCUAAGCUUGUUGAGCAAGCUGCAAGGUUAUGAAUACGCUACUAUGGGGGAAGGGUGAUUUUGGAACGGGCUCAUUGUCACAGUUUUCCCCCUGGCCUCACCCCUGCCUGGUUGGACUCUCUUCAAAGUCUUAUUGUGCAUCCUGAUGUGAGUACAAACUGAAAGCUGUUUUUUCUAUAGGCCCGGGAGUGCCAGACAACACUGCUUUGGAAACUAUAAUCCCUGUAGUUAGAGAUAUCUGUUCUCCACAGCAUGGCAAAACAUGGUACAACUCUUGUGCGGAAGGACCCUGAUAAUUUGAACAGCUUCGGCAGCUUCAGUACAUCAGGGUAAGCUUUAAGAUGAUGUAACGUUGGCAUCUGGGAACCAGUACCUUCGGCCACAAUGGACAGGCCACCCUAGCCCACACCCUCCACUCUGGCAGCCUCAGCACAAGUUUGUCAAGCAUCAGGAGCAGCACCUUCGACCUAUAUAAGCAAGAGCAGCGGGACACACACAUUGGCCGGGACACACGUGUGGUUGGGGUGACUGCACUGGGGAUAUCUUAGCAGUGGAUCUCCGCAGGAAGCCAGAGCAGGUUAGGUUGGAAAAUGACAGAUUCUGUGUGGUGGCUGAGAGCACUGUUUGUCAGCACAUAUGCGACAACUCUUGGGGAGUCCUAUAAAUAUUGAGUACGUGAUGCAUGGUGGUGCUGGUACUGCUGGAAUCAUUGUAAGUGUUAAGCUGAUGAUGGAUCCCUAGGAACAACAUAGAGGAGCAGCUCAAUACAUUCCUUCUUGACCUGUAUGGCCAAAGGAACUCUAGGUCUGGAAAAUAUAAGCCUGACUUGAGUCACUGCAGUAGAGAAUCUAGAUCAGCAUCAACUCAAAGACCCAGAGCUCACUGAAUGAAAGGAAGACUGAAAACCCUUGAGAAAGUGCCCUGAGGUAUUAUCACAGGUAUGUACUACAAAUCUUUCUAGCCUUCCCUAAGCAGCCUUCCUGUAGCCAUUGCCCACGUAACUAACUGUAUACUGUGGGGGAAGCAAAUACCCAAACAUUUUCAGAGAUUAUUGAACACUGGAUCUGAGCUAAACCCUGAGGACCCACAACACCACUCUAACACAUAAGCCAGAGUGGAGGCCUUGGGGGAGGGUGUCAUGCCAUAGAGACAUUUUUUUAAUUGAGGGUAUCAAGGUAGGUGGCUUGACCGAGAUGGUAAAAAGGAAAUACAUGGAAUUUGGGGCUUUGUCCAUAUCACAGUAGUCCCAGUAGAUCACAAAUAUACCCCCAUUUUUCCCCCAUGUUCCUGAGUAUAUAUUGGGAAUAAAUAUACUCAAUAACUAAAAAAUCUGUAUGUUUCCUCCUGACGUAUAGAGUGAGGACUAUCAUGGUAGGAAGAAAGUGGAAUCCGUGGAGCUACCCUACCGAAAUGGUGGAUCAAAGCACCCUGUUUAUCGUGGAAUCACAGACAUUAGAACUAAUAAAGCCUCGAAAGAGGCAAAGAGGAUAAUCUUCACUAUACUCCCAUUUACAUUACUUGUUUGUCUUACGUAGAAGACCGAUCAUGGAGCAUAGUAGCGGACUCUCAUAAACCAAGUCAGGUAGAGGCUACAUUUAGUUCCAGACAGACUUUUCAACAUUGUAGAUCAAUACAUACCCUGGCACUUAGUAUGCAGCUGUUCAUCUGAAAAAUGAUUUUAUUUCUACAAGGAAACACCACCAUCAAGUAACUUUCAUGUGGAAAAGAGAGUUUUCUCUAUCUUGCUAUAGAAUUACAUCAGUUAUCCAGAGUCAUGUCAUGUUUUUACUCUAAAAGGCAUGCAUUUCUCAAGAUGGUGGCAAAGAGAAAUGUCUUGGAACCCUUUUCAGAGACAAAGGCCAGCAAAAAAUAAAAGGAAAGAGAAGAUUAAAAAUGGUUGUGUUAGCAAGAUUCAAGUGUGAUUCCCGCACUUGAAUGGAUCUGGAAAUCGACUGAGGAGUGUGUUACGGUGUGGAUUUUGUGCUAUUACCUCGAGAGAGUCUACUUCAAGAGGUCUGGGGUGGCCCCUGGGAUCAGUAUUUGCCCCAAGCAGCCCAGGUUGUUCUGAGGCUGGCUGUCCAAGGGCCACGCCUGGAGAAAUCCUGGUGAAGCGGAAAACACACAGGACUGGUCCCUGCCAUCACGAGGCUGGCCAUCUGCCUCACUGAGUCUGCUUCCUUGUCUGCAAAAUGGGGAUAGACUAUAGCUAUGUCAGUGUCCUGAGGGUUAAAUGAGUUGAGGUAUAUGACAUGUUGGGAAUCAUAACUCAAAUGUUCCAUAGGGUUGAACGGCUCUGGGGUGAAAAAGAAUUAUUCUGGCUCCAGAAGGCAGAACUGGGCGAAGGGGAAGGAGUAGGUGAGGGGGCGGCAAGUCUGGCCUCUUAGGCCUCUUAGGCCUCUUAGGACGAAUGCGUCUCUCGUCUUCGGACAUGGCCCAGCUGUCUUGGGAGGUGCGAACAAAAACGUGUUGGGUCACACCAGCGAAAAGCACUGCAGAUGAGCGCUUGGGUUCGUGCCCACCUGCUAUGCCUCAGUGUGGUGCGGCCACUGCAACCAUACAGCUCGGCCUAUCCUCCCGUGUUCAGAAGGCACCCAUGCCCAGACCUGCUCCUCCUCAAAUCCAGAAUACAUGCCCCAAACAAAACCUUCUCUCCUCAGGCCCUUGCCUGCUUCCUCGGCCUCAUUUCCUGUCUGUCCCCAUGAGUGCCUUUGGUUCCAUAUCCUAGAAGAUUCCCAGAUGCCCUCUUCCCAGCCACAUGCCCCCUCACCCCUAGCUGAAUCCUAUUAACCCUUUAGAACUUUAACCCAGUCAGGGCUCCCUCCAAGCUCCCUGAUCCUUCAAGCUGAGCCUCUUCGGCUCCUGUGGUGGCCCUGAGGACACUCAGUUCCCUCCUAGCACUUGCCAUCUUGUUUUGUGGUCCUCUGCCUGUCUGCGUUCUUCCAGUAGGGGCUCCUUGAGAACAGAGAUUGCCUUUUCCUCUGUAUCAUCAUCACCUGUCCCAGAGCCUAGCCCGGAGUGGGUGCUUAGUAAAUCUUAGUUGAGUGAAUGAAGGAGGGGUGGCAAGCUCUGGUGUUCCCUACCCAGGAGCAAACCAAUUCCCUAUUCCUUGGCCGCAUCCCUGUAGCAGGGUAAAAAGGCCAGAUUUCACUUCUCAGUCUCCACUGCAGUGAGAUCUGGUCAGCCAGGUAUGGGGAGAGUCUAAUGUAGAGGGAGUGCUCUAGAAACUGUUUUUCCAUUCCCCAGUAAAUGGAGGGAACCUCGCUGGAGGUCUCGCCCACCCCCACUACCUCCUGUGUGGACAGGCCUGUGUGAGUCAAGAUGUCUGAAGCUGUCCAAAGAUUCUCAGAAAUGCCAACCAAUAUCCUGAGGCCUCUGAAUCAACCCUUGAAUCUCUUACCUCCAGAAUUCUUACUUGAUGAGUAAUAAAUGUCCUUAUGGCCGAAGUCUCUAAACAAUCCUAAUCAACAGAGUGAUAAGAUAUUAUAAUGA